rnacentral:lncRNA from 1 species
CUUCCGCUUCCACAUCCAUGCGAAUACCAGGUGACUUAAAUCGCAUGAAGCCUGCAUCCAGCCUUCUUUUCUCCACUUGCUUUAAAUGCCCCAUGGCCCAUGUGGAUGGAUGCACGUGACCUGUGUGCAUGAAGCCGCAUCUAAUGAGCCAGCGUGCAGCCGAUCAAAUUCCCAAACUUCUCGUACACCAAGUGGUUCAUGAU